GGAGGACAGCCCAGGCCAAGCCUGUCAUUUCUGAUCACAAACAAAAUGGGAGUCCUGUGAGGUGUCAGGCUUCUGUCUCUUUAGAGAGAGGACCAAAAAUUCCCCUGAAUUUGUUAGAAUGAGAUUGAGGACACAAUCUUUUCAAGCCAAGCCUCUUGGGUAGAGCUUGCAGUGACCACAGAAGAAUACGGAAAUUCCCUUCACCAUCUCUGAGGUGUUCAAAUUCUUCUCUCUCUGGAACAAAGCCUUUGGAAGCCUCCAUAACCCUCCCUCUCUUGGCUCAGAGGCCCAGCUACACUUUAUAAAACAACCCAGGGCCAUCUGAUUUGAAGCAUGUACCGGCUCGUGUGGGCAAGACAGUAAUUACCUCCAAUU
rnacentral:lncRNA from 1 species